CAGAUAAUUAUUUAAUGACAGUAGAAGCUGAGAUGCAAAAAGGUAAGGCCUUAUAACUGUUAAAACUCAAAUUGUCAACAUCACAUAUAGCUAAAGGGGCCUUG